GACGAACGCUGGCGGCGUGCUUAGCACAUGCAAGUCGAACGGAAAGGCCCUGCUUGCAGGGUACUCGAGUGGCGAACGGGUGAGUAACACGUGGGUGAUCUGCCCUGCACUUCGGGAUAAGCUUGGAAACUGGGUCUAAUACCGGAUAGGAGCCAUCUUUAGUGUGGUGGUUGGAAAGUUUUUUCGGUGUAGGAUGAGCUCGCGGCCUAUCAGCUUGUUGGUGGGGUAAUGGCCUACCAAGGCGGCGACGGGUAGCCGGCCUGAGAGGGUGUACGGCCACAUUGGGACUGAGAUACGGCCCAGACUCCUACGGGAGGCAGCAGUGGGGAAUAUUGCACAAUGGGCGCAAGCCUGAUGCAGCGACGCCGCGUGGGGGAUGAAGGCCUUCGGGUUGUAAACUCCUUUCGCUAGGGACGAAGCUUUGUUGUGACGGUACCUAGAUAAGAAGCACCGGCUAACUACGUG
rnacentral:rRNA from 1 species